UGGCAUGGCACUUUGCCCGUGAGCAUUCCCGCUUUAGACACUGCUUAGGAGCAUGAAUCCCAGCUGUCAUCUCUGCUACAGGGAGGAACCCAAAAUGCUCUAAAUGCUCCCCGUCCAGCUUCCUCUCCACACUGCCUCCCAUACUGCAGGCCCGGUGUGAGACUGCAGAGCCUUUUGAGACAUCCUCAUGGCUUGCUGCAAGCCAGGAAAACAUGGACAGGGGCCAGUGGGCUCCCAGGUUCCUUCCAUUUUUCUUGGUGUGGUCUGGACAGCUGAGGUCUCACCAGAGGAAGAGGAGACAAUAAACUCCUACCUUUGACAAAUGCAAUCUGAAGUUGCAUUCCA